AUUGAACGCUGGCGGCAGGCCUAACACAUGCAAGUCGAACGGUAACAGGAAGAAGCUUGCUUCUUUGCUGACGAGUGGCGGACGGGUGAGUAAUGUCUGGGAAACUGCCUGAUGGAGGGGGAUAACUACUGGAAACGGUAGCUAAUACCGCAUAACGUCGCAAGACCAAAAAGGGGGACCUUCGGGCCUCUUGCCAUCGGAUGUGCCCAGAUGGGAUUAGCUAGUAGGUGGGGUAACGGCUCACCUAGGCGACGAUCCCUAGCUGGUCUGAGAGGAUGACCAGCCACACUGGAACUGAGACACGGUCCAGACUCCUAGGGGAGGCAGCAGUGGGGAAUAUUGCGCAAUGGGCGCAAGCCUGAUGCAGCCAUGCCGCGUGUAUGAAGAAGGCCUUCGGGUUGUAAAGUACUUUCAGCGGGGAGGAAGGGAGUAAAGUUAAUACCUUUGCUCAUUGACGUUACCCGCAGAAGAAGCACCGGCUAACUCCGUG
rnacentral:rRNA from 1 species